AGGGUUUGAUCAUGGCUCAGAUUGAACGCUGGCGGCGUGCCUAACACAUGCAAGUCGAGCGGUAACGGGUGUAGCAAUACAUGCUGACGAGCGGCGGACGGGUGAGCAAUGUUUGGGAAUCUGCCUAUUAGUGGGGGACAACCCGGGGAAACUCGGGCUAAUACCGCAUACGAUCUACGGAUGAAAGCCGGGGACCGCAAGGCCUGGCGCUAAUAGAUGAGCCCAAAUCGGAUUAGCUAGUUGGUGAGGUAACGGCUCACCAAGGCGACGAUCCGUAGCUGGUCUGAGAGGACGACCAGCCACACCGGAACUGAGACACGGUCCGGACUCCUACGGGAGGCAGCAGUGGGGAAUAUUGGACAAUGGGCGAAAGCCUGAUCCAGCGACGCCGCGUGGGUGAAGAAGGCCUGCGGGUUGUAAAGCCCUUUCGGUGGGGAAGAAAAGCCUCGUUUUAAUACAGCGGGGUCUUGACGUAACCCAAGAAAGAAGCACCGGCUAACUCUGUGCCAGCAGCCGCGGUAAUACAGAGGGUGCGAGCGUUAAUCGGAAUUACUGGGCGUAAAGCGCGCGUAGGCGGCUUUGCAAGUCGGGUGUGAAAUCCCCAGGCUUAACCUGGGAACUGCAUUCGAGACUGCAUUGCUAGAGUAUGGGAGAGGGAAGUGGAAUUUCAGGUGUAGCGGUGAAAUGCGUAGAUAUCUGAAGGAACAUCAGUGGCGAAAGCGACUUCCUGGACCAAUACUGACGCUCAUGUGCGAAAGCGUGGGGAGCAAACAGGAUUAGAUACCCUGGUAGUCCACGCCAUAAACGAUGACAACUGGAUGUCGGGAGGGUCUGCCUCUCGGU
rnacentral:rRNA from 1 species